AGUGAGAUGACAGAGUGGUUAUGUGUCCCGCUGUAAACGGGUUUAUGAGAGUUCAAUUCUCUCUUUCACUA
rnacentral:tRNA from 1 species